GUUUGAUCCUGGCUCAGAUUGAACGCUGGCGGCAUGCCUUACACAUGCAAGUCGAACGGCAGCGCGGACUUCGGUCUGGCGGCGAGUGGCGAACGGGUGAGUAAUACAUCGGAACGUACCCUGUUGUGGGGGAUAACUAGUCGAAAGAUUAGCUAAUACCGCAUACGACCUGAGGGUGAAAGUGGGGGACCGCAAGGCCUCACGCAGCAGGAGCGGCCGAUGUCUGAUUAGCUAGUUGGUGGGGUAAAGGCCCACCAAGGCGACGAUCAGUAGCUGGUCUGAGAGGACGAUCAGCCACACUGGGACUGAGACACGGCCCAGACUCCUACGGGAGGCAGCAGUGGGGAAUUUUGGACAAUGGGGGCAACCCUGAUCCAGCAAUGCCGCGUGUGUGAAGAAGGCCUUCGGGUUGUAAAGCACUUUUGUCCGGAAAGAAAUCGCGCUGGUUAAUACCUGGCGUGGAUGACGGUACCGGAAGAAUAAGCACCGGCUAACUACGUGCCAGCAGCCGCGGUAAUACGUAGGGUGCGAGCGUUAAUCGGAAUUACUGGGCGUAAAGCGUGCGCAGGCGGUUUUGUAAGACAGGCGUGAAAUCCCCGGGCUUAACCUGGGAAUUGCGCUUGUGACUGCAAGGCUAGAGUGCGUCAGAGGGGGGUAGAAUUCCACGUGUAGCAGUGAAAUGCGUAGAGAUGUGGAGGAAUACCGAUGGCGAAGGCAGCCCCCUGGGACGUGACUGACGCUCAUGCACGAAAGCGUGGGGAGCAAACAGGAUUAGAUACCCUGGUAGUCCACGCCCUAAACGAUGUCAACUAGUUGUUGGGGAUUCAUUUUCUCAGUAACGUAGCUAACGCGUGAAGUUGACCGCCUGGGGAGUACGGUCGCAAGAUUAAACUCAAGGAAUUGACGGGGACCCGCACAGCGGGGAUGAUGUUGGAUUAAUUCGAUGCAACGCGAAAACCUUACCUACUCUUGAACAUGCCACUAACGAAGCAGAGAUGCAUUAGUGCCCGAAAGGGCAAGUGACACAGGUGCUGCAUGCUGUCGUCAGCUCGUGUCUGAAUGUGGAUAGUCCGCACUAGCCCACCUUGAUUCUAGUUGCUACGCAG
rnacentral:rRNA from 1 species